CACCACCUGUUACUUGUCCUCUCCUGCCUCCAGCGUCAAUACCUCACCUGUCUACCUCCGCCAUCAGCCUCCCCGACACAGAUCUUCAUCACUGAGCUCUUAAGACAUGAUGGGGCGCGUAAUGACCACAUUCCUACUUAUGCUGAUAGCUGUCGGGGUCACACUCACUCUGCCAGAGCCUCUGAGUCCUGUGCUCAAGAGGUUAGUGAGGUCUCAAUGCAUCAACGCCACAACACUCCAGCACUACUCCUGCCAGUGUGACCUCAACGGCUCCUACAAUGCCAUCGCAGACGUCUCCUCCUUCUGCCUCCCGCCAUCUUACCAAGAACUCUGCUAUCAAUUCUUCCCUGACACCACAGCCUCCUCCCCCUGUGGAUGCUGUGUGAUCUUGGACGACACUCUGUGCUAGUGGGUUAGAUAGAACUAGACAAAACAAAGAUGACGGAAUACAAACAGAAAAGAGUGGAGAAUAACGAGGAGUUAAAGCGCAUUAGAAGCCAGCAGUAAUGUUAAGAAACAAAUAAUUAUUCACAAAAUUUUCACCAUGUUGACUAAUGGACACAAAGUGCAAAAAAGAAUAGACAACCAUACCCAUGGACGGACAACCAUACCCAUGGACGGACAACCAUACCCAUGGACGGACAACCAUACCCAUGGACGGACAACCAUACCCAUGGACGGACAACCAUACCCAUGGACGGACAACCAUACCCAUGGA